CUCUCUGCUGCCGCCGCAAGCGCCGCUGGCCCGGGGACCACAGAUUGGAAGCAGGCAGUCACUGGUCGUGGACAGGAAGACUCUCUCCGGCCAUCUCAGCUGUGGUCCUCUAACCUGUGCCUGUGAGCCACCAAGAGUGAACGGAAACUAGAAGCAUUGCCACCAACAACUGGAGCAGUGACCACACUGAAGUUUCUCUGUCGAGGGGGAAGGGGAGUAAGGAGAAAAAAAAAAAAAAAAGGCAAGUAAGCAAGCAAGCCAGCAAGCACAGGAGCACACUCUCGUGGAGGCCCACACCCUCCCUGUGCCUACCCAAGAUGUGUCAGUCAGAGAAGCAUCCAGGACCGGAGCUCCAAGCAGCAGCAAAAUGGUUGUACUUUCCCCAGCUGGCCCUAUGGCGGAGGCUAGGCCAGCUGAGCUGCAUGUCCAGACCUGCUCUGAAUCUGCGCUCCUGGCUGCUGACCAUCCUCCACUACCUCCUGCCCUUCCGUGUGCUCGGGCCCCACAGCCAGGUGGGAUGGAGGCCCCUGAGCAGGGUGUUCCUGUAUAAAACUGUGCCAACGAGUUUGCUGUCAUGUGCCUGUGGUCGCCUCAACAAAGUAGAACUUCCUUACUGGCUCUGGAGGCCAGUCUACAGCCUGUAUAUCUGGACCUUUGGGGUGAACAUGACUGAGGCUGCAGUGGAGGACCUGCACCACUACCGCAACCUCAGCGAGUUUUUCCGGCGUAAGCUGAAGCCUCAGGCACAGCCUGUCUGAGAUUUGUACUGUGUGGUAAUGCCUGGCCCUUGUCUCCAUUCUUCAUUAGGAAAUGAAACCCUUGUCUGCCUUUAAGCCAGGCUUAGCAGCACCGCAUGGCCGUGGCACUCCGGGAGGCUCCCUCCUGACCUGGACUGGAGCUCCCUGAGGACUUGGCAGAUGGUAGAGUUUGGGGAGCCACUGAAGGUGAGCACUACCCCCUCCUUACCUUCAAAACUCUGUCUCCUCCAGACCAGCCCAUCAGAUGGCAAGAUCCUCACCUUUGGGCAGGUGAAGAACUCUGAGGUGGAGCAGGUAAAGGGCGAAACCUACUCCUUGGAGUCCUUCCUGGGCCCUCGAACCAGUACAGAAGACCUGCCCUUCCCUCCAGCUUCUUCCAGUGACUCCUUCAGAAACCAGCUGGUCCCCCAAGAAGGGAAUGCGCUCUACCACUGUGUCGUCUACCUGGCCCCAGGAGACUACCACUGCUUCCACUCCCCCACUGACUGGACCGUCUCACAUCGGCGCCACUUCCCAGGUUCCCUGAUGUCAGUGAACCCUGGCAUGGCCCGAUGGAUCAAAGAGCUCUUUUGUCACAAUGAGCAUGUAGUCCUAACUGGAGACUGGAAAAAUGGGUUCUUCUCGUUGACAGCAGUGGGAGCCACCAAUGUGGGCUCUAUCCAUAUCCACUUUAACUGAGUGAGCAAAGCCCACAGGCUAAACCUCUUGGGUCCAACCACUUCAUUUACUGUACAGCCUUACCUUUGGGCUUAUAAAUUUUGUAGUGCAGGAGGGAUGAUCUAGCUCUGACCAGGCUGGACUCUACAGACAUCCAUACCAGCCCAGCCUCCCUCUCCCUGUUGCCCAAUCUGUGGCCAUUCACCUGCCUGAACCAAUCCCACAUCUUAACACACGGCUUCUGCCAGGAUCCCUGAUCAGAAGCAAGGAUGGAGCCUGCAGGAGGGUAGAGUUGGCUUGGGUGAGAAAAUCUGGUACCCACUCUGCCUUUUUAGGUUUUAAUGGCUGCUGCUGGCACUAGCCUUUCAGCAUUUAUGUCUAACCCCUGCCCCUCCUUGUCAAAGUCACAGCUGAUACUGGGAGUGUUGAUUAGUUAGGCCUUUGUCUCUGCCACCUGGGCUGGGCAGAGUUGAGGACAGGCUCAACCUUCUUGUUCCUAGGACUUGCACACAAACAGCCCCAGGUACAGCAAGGUACUACAAUGACCUGAGCUUUGUAACAAGGAGGGCAUUCCCAUGCACAAGGGUGAGCCCCUGGGCGAGUUCAACCUGAGCUCCACAUCAUGCUCAUCUUCGAGGCACCCAAGGACUUCAACUUGAGGCUGAAGGCAGAACAGAAGAUCUGCUUUGCAGGAGCACUGGGCUCCCUCUAGUCCUCUCGGUUGUGGCUGCCAAAGGAUCUUUCCACACAGGAGCAUGAGGGUCUUUAGCGGAGCCCCAGGAUGUCUAGGUGAGGGGCACUGUGGGGCUGACCUUAUAAGACCUGAAUGAUGUGUUCCUGCCUGUCCAUGGGUGCAGAGGAGAGGUUCUGGGUCUCUCAGGACCUAGGCCCCUUUUCUGAGUAUGGGUGGGUGUGAUUUGACCCCAAAGUCACUUUAAGGGGUGUUUUAAAUUUUUGUACAAGCCAGAGCCUCCCACCCCUAACUCCUGGCUGUGUACUACCACACCCUCUAGCUGCGCCCCGACCCGUCACAGGGCUCUCUCACUGUGCACAGGGUGACGUGCCUGCUGGGCAGAGACUGUGGAUCCACUGUCUUCCUAGAGCAGGCCACAUGGCCUUCAUAACUGCUUUCUGCUCCCAAAUUUCACCUAUCUGCAUGCUGGAAAAGUAAAAUCAUUUAUAUAUUGCUGGAUGUGUUGUCCUGGGCUCUGUCAGUGUCUUCUGAAGACAAUGACUAAUGAUGUAUGUAGACCUUUGUAGGCUCUAAGAAGCUGGCUGAAUCCUUUUGCUGGUAGGCAAGACCAAUUAAUUACUGGCUUGUCUGGUAGAGUCUGGAGUGAAAGGGCAGGUUGAGGCCUUGCCCUGCAGAAGUAGGGGACAUGCUGCUAUUGGUCUAGGUCUGUGUUGGAAGCAGAGGGUAUGGAGGUCAGUACCUAGAAAACAGGUAUGCAGGCCAUGGGGAACCCAGUGGUAGGGACAAGACCAGAGUUCAUGUCGAUCUUGGGAAUGCCAUGAAUUUCCCCUGCAGAAGAAAUCACUUAACUUUUCAACCCUAUCAGUAGUACCGUAUUUUGUAUGAAAAGUAGGAGACUUCUGAACAGUAAUUCAUUUCAUUGCAAGACAUUUUGAAAUUAAAAAACAAAACAAAACAAAAAC
rnacentral:lncRNA from 1 species